GUUAAAAUAAUACAAGACUAACAAAGGCCAGAGGCUCCUGACUUGGGACAGGCGCAAAAAUGCGGCGGGGUUAAACAUGUUUAUGAGAUCUCAACCCUCCCCCUAUACCUCUAGCCAAUGCAGAAAAGUAAACGCAUAACAAUACGCACAUUAAAAUUCAGUUCAAGAGUCUGAUGUCAGAAGAUGUAACCAAAGAAAAUAAACAAAGUGACAAUA
rnacentral:lncRNA from 1 species